UUAGGAAUUUUGCACAAUGGGGGAAACCCUGAUGCAGCAACGCCGCGUGGACGAAGAAGGCCUUCGGGUCGUAAAGUCCUUUUCAACGGGAAGAUACGGACGGUACCGUUGGAAUAAGCAUCGGCUAACUACGUGCCAGCAGCCGCGGUAAUACGUAGGAUGCAAGCGUUAUCCGGAUUUACUGGGCGUAAAGAGCGCGUAGGUGGUUUCGUAAGUUGGGCGUGAAAGCCCCCGGCUUAACUGGGGAGGGUCGUUCAAAACUACGAGACUUGAGGGUGGAAGAGGAGAUCGGAAUUCCCGGUGUAGUGGUGAAAUGCGUAGAUAUCGGGAGGAACACCUGUGGUGAAGACGAAUCUCUGGGCCACUCCUGACACUAAGGCGCGAAAGCGUGGGGAGCGAACGG
rnacentral:rRNA from 1 species